UCUUGCAAAGGCCUUGGUUCAGAAUGAACAGAAAGCCCCAGACCUUUCAGACGCACGUGGGGACCAGAUACUGUUGGCAUCGGUAGAGAUUUCCCACGGGGUGGUGAUUUGCAUACCUUCCCGAUCCCUCUGGCUAAGACAGGGACAGGGAAUGUGAAGCAUUUCAAAUCAUCAGGAGAAAAAAAAGGAGAUGGGCACAUCUCCGGUGUGGCUCUAAGGUGGGUCCCAAGUCCACAAGUCCCAGCACCAGAUGUGGGCCUUCUGUGUGGGGAGCUCCAGAUUCUGGAAAGUAUUUUUGGCAAAUGAUGAAAAAACCAUCAAAUAAGGAAGCAUUGCUCUCCCUUCUUUCUUGCUGAGAGAAUAACGUGGCUGUAAAUACGGAAAACCUACAGAACCUAUAGAAUUUUGGCCCCUUGGGGGUGUCCGGAGAAUCACCUCGCCUGGAAAAGGAGGAGUGUUUUCAUGCUAUUCACCCUGACAAGCGAAACAAAAAUAAAGCAUUGCAUAGAGAUGGGUUUCUUUUGAGGACUUCAAGUUUGUUUUAAAAAUUCGAAAGGGAAAAAUAGAAACCUGAACAAAGUAAACAUGAAAAAGCUCCCGCCAUCUAGAAACCACCACCAUGAAGACUGUGACACAGUCUUCCAGAAACCUCUCCAGGCGCACGUGUACGUCAAGGGACCAAAAAUCCGAGAGGCUUUUUCCGUUUUCACUGACCUGACUUUAAAUGUGACCCAGGCUUUUAAAAUCUUUUUCCAAAUGCCCAGGAACACAUUGAAUGCCGCUGAUAUCUAAGACCCACCCCCAAAACAGUAUCCUCGUGGCAGCCCAGGCCAGAAACGAAGGGAAUGCUGACCUGUUAGCCUGGUAACACACUCACGUUUCAGCGCAUUCACUCAGGACAUCCAUGCACAACGGAGCUAAUUGCUGCAGAGGAGAUAAGUGAGCAACCAGGGCCUUUGGCUGCCUGCCAUGAAUUUGCUGUCUGGUUACGGAGGCAAAGGUGCAGAACGUGGCGAAGGGAUGGAUGCCAUGGCCCUGCUGAUGUGACCUAACAGCGGACUGGCCUCCAGGAGCUGACCUCUGACCCAGCAAGCAGGCGGGUGCCUCCCACCGCGGGGCUGAGCCGGAAGCACAUGCUCCUCCUGCCGGGCCUCCUGGGGAGAACGCAGCCCAGGGAGAAUGCAGCCCGAGCAGAGCCAUCCAUGCCCAGGCGCCUGACCCUGGGACUGACAGCCACUACACGCCUGUCCUUCCAGCUGCCGAACUCGUGGUCACCUGUUACUCAGCAACAGCAAAGGAGCGCCUUUGCUUGGUCCCCUGCUCUCUCCUCAGUCGUCAGGACAGGACCCAGCGCGCAGUAGGUGCCCAGGAAUGACCUGGUGGGUGAACACAUUGCCCUGGAAAAGCAGAGCCACCGAGUGGACAGCGGAGCCAGACCCGCCCCGCCUGUGCGGUCUGCGUGUGCACGUGCGUCACGGGAGGGUGCACUUGAACUUGCCUGCCGCACAGGCUUUCAGACGUGCGAGAGCCAGGCCACGGGGCCUUCGCUUUUCUAAGGUAACGUGCCAGCCGAAGGGUCCAAGCUUUCCCCUUACUAUUACUGUGCAUCUGACCUAAAAGGCAUCUCAUUCAAGAAAAUGUUGAGUAAGUGACAGAGUUAGGCUGGAGUCUUGGGGUGGUCUAAUAACAGGCUUUGAAAAGUGCAGCCAAAAUAAUGGAGCAGAAGUCUGCAGGCUGGGGACACACGGAGAGAACCCAUUCCAUUGCGAGGAAGACUGAGUCAGAGGGCAGCAUGGAGCUCUGAGAGGCCCCUCCGGGAGCCACGAGCAAGCUGCCGGGUCACCACUCGCGAGAGAUGGAACCGUGUCACGCUUGUAACCCCUGACCUGUUCUGAAACUAGCCUAGGUCCCCCGGGUACCCUGGGUGCCUCUCCUAGGGCUCGAGAGAAUGUCGGAGGCACCGAUAUUCUCUCCCAGUAACUAGUGAGGGACGAUGGCCACAGCAACACAUGGUGGGUGACCUUUGUUCAGAGUUCCAAAACGGCACCUGAAAACACACGACCAUAACGAAUAUUUGGCGAUGAAUCAACACCGGAGAACGGCUGGCUGCAGAGGGUGUUAUAUCGCCUGCCGACCUCCUUACGAUAAAUCAUAAGUAGUUUUGUGUGAGCGCAUCUGUGUGCGACGUUUCCAUCUCUCACAGGUGACGGGAAAGCCAUAUCAGCUUGAUUGUUCCAGCUACUCAAGCCGCCCGUCUCGCCAAUGUGGCUACAAGGUCAUGACUUUGAAUCCUAUGAAGGUCAAAAGCUGUACUUGGCCUCUUGGCCAACAUCACAUGCUUCCCAAGAAACAUGAAUACUUAA